rnacentral:rRNA from 1 species
GAUGAACGCUGGCGGCGUGCCUAAUACAUGCAAGUCGAGCGAACGGACGAGAAGCUUGCUUCUCUGAUGUUAGCGGCGGACGGGUGAGUAACACGUGGAUAACCUACCUAUAAGACUGGGAUAACUUCGGGAAACCGGAGCUAAUACCGGAUAAUAUUUUGAACCGCAUGGUUCAAAAGUGAAAGACGGUCUUGCUGUCACUUCUAGAUGGAUCCGCGCUGCAUUAGCUAGUUGGUAAGGUAACGGCUUACCAAGGCAACGAUGCAUAGCCGACCUGAGAGGGUGAUCGGCCACACUGGAACUGAGACACGGUCCAGACUCCUACGGGAGGCAGCAGUAGGGAAUCUUCCGCAAUGGGCGAAAGCCUGACGGAGCAACGCCGCGUGAGUGAUGAAGGUCUUCGGAUCGUAAAGCUCUGUUAUUAGGGAAGAACAUAUGUGUAAGUAACUGUGCACAUCUUGACGGUACCUAAUCAGAAAGCCACGGCUAACUACGUG